CCUACGGGUGGCUGCAGUCGAGAAUCAUUCACAAUGGGGGAAACCCUGAUGGUGCGACGCCGCGUGGGGGAAUGAAGGUCUUCGGAUUGUAAACCCCUGUCAUGUGGGAGCAAAUUAAAAAGAUAGUACCACAAGAGGAAGAGACGGCUAACUCUGUGCCAGCAGCCGGGGUAAUACAGAGGUCGAAAUCGUUGGUCGUAAUCUGUGGGCGUAAAGCGUGCGUAGGGUGUUACGUAGGUCGUGUGUGAAAGGGGUGGGCUAAACCCGCGGACGGCACAUGAUACUGCGAGACUAGAGUAAUGGAGGGGGAACCGGAAUUCUCGGUGUAGCAGUGAAAUGCGUAGAUAU
rnacentral:rRNA from 1 species